CCUUGACCUCAAAUCGGGUGAGACUACCCGCUGAACUUAAGCAUAUCAUAAG
rnacentral:rRNA from 1 species